rnacentral:rRNA from 1 species
CGUAGGUGGCAAGCGUUGUCCGGAUUUAUUGGGUUUAAAGGGUGCGUAGGCGGUUUUCUAAGUCAGCAGUGAAAUACGGCAGCUCAACUGUCGAGGUGCUGUUGAUACUGGGGAACUUGAGUACUGAUGAGGUAGGCGGAAUGGACGGUGUAGCGGUGAAAUGCUUAGAGAUCGUCCAGAACACCGAUAGCGAAGGCAGCUUACUAAGGAGUAACUGACGCUGAGGCACGAAAGUGUGGGGGAUCAAACAGGAUUAGAUACCCUGGUAGUCCACACUGUAAACGAUGAUUACUCGAUGUGUGCGAUACACGGCACGCGUCUUAGACAAAAGCGAUAAGUAAUCCACCGUGGGGAGUACGCCGGCAACGGUG